rnacentral:rRNA from 1 species
AUGAGAAGCACACAAUCAAGUGAGAGCUUGAAUAGUGACUUGAAAGACCAUUUGAAGUCUGAUCUUGACAUUCUUUGUUUUUUCAAGCACGUAGAGAGGGUUGUGAAAGGAAAGAGAGAUAAAGAGCGAUGGACUCGAGAAGCACGAAGCGGGACUAUUCAAAACAGCCAUGGCAACAUUGUUUUGGAAGACCCUAGAUCGGAAGAUAGGCAGCAGCUUAAGUUUUUCAUGCAUGAGUUCCUUGGCAUAGCUUCCCAAGCAGUUGCAUCACAAGAGUGCAUAAAAUUAGUAGAUGAUGCUUUGAAGAAUCUAAAGAAGCAAGUUGAAGACAAAGCUCCUACUACUACAUGCAGAACUGAAGCUAUAUCUCAGGAACCAGACAUUUGUUUGCAAACAGCUUGUCUGAAUAAAAAGGAAAUUCAGCAGAAGACUUCAAAAACGAAGAAAUCAUGGCUUGAUAAUCAACAUCCCAGUAAAAAGAAAAAAGGGACAGCU